GUUGCGUGUGUGUUUUGCAUUGGGCCAAUAGUCUGUAGUGUAGUGGUAGACGAUCUGCCCGACCCGUCUUGAAACACGGACCAAAGAGUUUGACAUGUGUGCGAGUCAUCGGGUGUUACGAAACCCAAAGGCGAAGUGACGGUUAAUGUUCGGCUUGUCCGGACUGAUGUGAGAUUCUGUUGUCUUGCUUGUACUUUCCAGGUUGCGAACAGCGGGGGCAUCACCGCUCCGUCCCAUGACGUAGAUAUGUGACCUCGUGUAGUGUGCACCGUCGAGGCGGAGCAAAAGCGUACACGUUGAGACCCGAAAGAUGGUGAACUAUGCCUGUGAAGGUUAAAGCCAGUGGAAACUCUAGUGGACCGCAGUGAUCCUGACGUACAAAUCAAUCGUAUAAGGUGAGUAUAGAGGCGAAAGACUAAUCGAACUAUCUAGUAGCUGGUUCCCUCCGAAGUUUCCUUCAGGAUAGCUGGCAUUCUGAGAAAUAAACAGUUUUAUCCCGUAAGGCUAAUGAUUAGAGGCAUUGGGGAGAAAUCAUCCUCAACCUAUUCUCAAACUAUCGGUGGGUGAGAAGCUGAACUCGCUUAAUUGGAGUUUUGCAUUGAAUGUGAGUGCCAAGUGGGCCAUUUUUUGGUAGGGAGAAAUGGUGCUGUGGGAUGAACCGAACGUUCGAUUAAGGUGCCUACCACGAUGCUCAUGAGAUACCACAAAAGAUGUUGGUUGGUCUAGACAGCAGGAUAGUGACCGUGGAAGUCGGAAGCCGCUAAGGAGUGUGUAACAACUCGCCUGCCGAAUCAACCAGCCAUGAAAAUGGAUGGUGCUUGAGCGUUGGACCUAUACCGGACCAUUGCUGUAAGCUGGGCCUAUGCUGUGUGAUGGCAAGCUGCACUUGGUUCAGGUAUGGAGUAACGGCAACGAGUAGGAGGGUCGCUGUGGCUUGCGGGAAGCCUAG
rnacentral:ncRNA from 1 species